rnacentral:lncRNA from 1 species
CUGGCGGAUUGAGAUUCACGUGCCUUUAAGUGAUCAGACUGUCGCUGUAGGGACCUUAGUGUCGUAUCAACUCUACCUUUAUGUGGAAUCGGGCAACGUAGUUUCUCGCAUAGAUGGAAGAUGGAGUUUCCAGGACCAUUGUUGACGCUAUGAACUGCACUGUGCGCACGACCUGGGAAGUUUCUUGUGUAUGUUACAUUCUUUGGUUGUACAUCUUUGAGCGGUACAUACAUCGACUGCAGAUGGCACACUGUCUCCAGCAAAGUCCACGUUGCUCUUCACAGUCUGGAUCAAACUGAAGGUCACCAUCACAGCUGGGAUUCAUGUGCAGAUGCUCUCUGGUCACAGCAUUUACCAUCUCCCAUAGUUUUCUGGUAUGGAGAAGCUUGUAACACUCCGAGUUGGCACUAUAACUAAUAACAAGGGGGGCAACUCAUUUUAUGAACACUAUACCUGAAGGAGUUACCUCCCUUAGCAACACUGACUUUUCUUCUUUAAGUUAUGGAAUUACUUUUUAGUACAGAUUUUAAUAUCACCAUGUGAACAAGAAAACAAAUAAAGUGUGGUGU